UUCACGGCCAGUGGGCAAGAAUCUUCUCCAAGCUACCCAUAGCCAUGUUCGUCAUAUCUGAAAUGGAUAGUCAGAGUUGAUGAUGGAGUCAAGCCCAAGAAACAGAGCAGCCCAAGGAAAAUGUACAGGGCUGCUGUCUGGCAAACUCCACCCUUGCCUUCUCUGCACCCAGAACUUUGAACUGUCCCCUGGAUGCUAGGAUUCCACCCCUGCCAGAAUAGAACGCACGGCCAGUUCCUCGAUAACAAGGCAGGACCCUGUAAAAGUCAACAGCACUCUGUAGGGAAUCAACCCCAGUUUUAUUCUUUCUUGGCUGUGUGACUCUGGCAAAUGUGUCACCUUCCUGAGCCUCAGCUUCCCUACUUACAAAAUAAGGGUGAUCAUAAUUGUAGUACUGACGAGGACUGUAUGCCCAAUGCAGGCAAAACACUUAGAACAAAUGCCAGACCCAUAGGACAUGCCUGCCACAUACUAACUAUAAUAAUGAUGAAUUUUCUGUAUUGUCUCUUUAGGUCUUACAUCUUUAAAGCAGCAAGUCUGUCCCCUUCGUGCUCAUUGAGAAUAUCUGAUACCUUCAUGUUUGGACUCAUCCAGCCCCCAUCUCCUCAGUCUAUCUCAGAUCUGACAGUGGAGGCUGCUUUGUCCAGGACCAACCUUUUCUCUUGCCUCAUUUCUGCUAUGCCAGCUGAUGAAGAGCAUGCUAUGCCCUCAGCUUCUUGGACUUCACCCUGGCCCUGGAAGGGAAGGGGAGCUCUUCCAGGCCUCUGACUUGUGAAGACAGACACUGCAGAGGACUUUUUGCUGAGAAAAGAAGCUGAAUGAAGGGAUGGAUGUCUUUAAAAGGUAAACACAGACUUUGACAGAGGAAUUGAUUUGGAGAGGGCAGAGCAGCUCCCAAGGCAGAUCAGCACACAUCAGGCAACCCUGGGAGUUGCUGGCAGCCCAAACACCAGGCCAAUCAGCAUCUCUUCUGGAGUGGAUGGGAGAGGCAUGAAUAAUGCUGGGACGGAACACAUGGAUGCUUAAAGGCUAAUGCCCAAUCACUUUGUUGUGCCUCUAAUGAUCCUCGCACAUGGACCUGAGGGUCCUCCUGGAGCCACACCUCUGAUGUAUUUUUUUCAUUCCCGAGUUCCUCUUCCUCCUCUGCAGGGAAACUCCACCUUAGCAUCUCUGGGGAUUCUGAGGACAUCAGAGGUCUCAUCUGAGCUGUAUGGCCCCUUCACUUCUCUGGUGGAGGAGUCUUUGUCCUUCUUUGGGAGAAGGAUGUCCUUUUUAAUCAAAUAAGAAGUUCUUUAGGAACAUACAGAUGUGUGAGGGAGGAGAGGGACUCAUCUGGCCAGAUAGGGCAUUUGAGUCAUUAUCAGUUAUUAUCUCCCUCUCGUGGCCCACUGUCUCUCACCUGCCGUUUCAGUAUUUCUCCAGCAAGAAAUGGAGAUUACUCAGCCAUCCUAUUUACAGUAAGUCUACUCAAUCUGUCAUGGGCAUGGGAAGGAUACACCAAAAGCUUAAGAUGUGGGAUAACUAACUUUUUCCCAGCUGGUCUAGGUCUUUCCUGGUUCUAUCAACGAAAGACCUUUCUCAGCCAAAGCUAACUGAGACAGUCGGUCAUCCCAGAGAUGUGUCCUUCUUCUUCCAAAAAGCCUGUCUUCUCCCGUGUAACUACAGAGGGUCUCUAUUUUCUUUCUGGUAUUUCCUCUUUGCUUGAGAUCUACCUCCAGUCAUUUCUCUUUCUUUUUUUCUUUUUCUCUAAAUACUACUAUCUAAUUUCUACCCCAACCAGGUUAGCAAGAAGGACAACUGGCCCAAGAUAAUGGGGAGCAUUUUCUGAAGGACGUUAGGAAAGAGACAAAAAAAAAAAAAAAAAUGAAGCUAACCUAAUGUGCUGUACCAGCCAAGAACUGUACCAUCUACUUAGCGUAUACCAUGUAAUCAUCACAACGUGGGAUAAGUAGUAUUAUUGUUUCCAUGUUCCAAAUAGGAAAAUAAAAGUUAGAAAGAUUAAGUAAGACGUCA
rnacentral:lncRNA from 1 species